UACAGAGGGUGCAAGCGUUAAUCGGUAUUACUGGGCGUAAAGCGCACGCAGGCGGUUGGUUAAGUCAGAUGUGAAAGCCCCGGGCUCAACCUGGGAAUUGCAUUUGAAACUGGCCAACUAGAGUACGUGAGAGGGGGGUAGAAUUCCAAGUGUAGCGGUGAAAUGCGUAGAGAUUUGGAGGAAUACCAGUGGCGAAGGCGGCCCCCUGGCACAAUACUGACGCUCAGGUGCGAAAGCGUGGGGAGCAAACAGG
rnacentral:rRNA from 1 species